UACGUAGGGGGCUAGCGUUGUCCGGAUUUAUUGGGCGUAAAGCGCGUGUAGGCGGCCAGAUAGGUCUGCUGUGAAAACUCGAGGCUCAACCUCGAGCUGUCGGCGGAAACCAUCCGGCUAGAGUCCGGAAGAGGAGAGUGGAAUUCCCGGUGUAGCGGUGAAAUGCGCAGAUAUCGGGAAGAACACCGGUGGCGAAGGCGGCAUCCUGGACCGACACUGACACUGAGGAGCGAAAGCCAGGGGAGCAAACGGG
rnacentral:rRNA from 1 species